rnacentral:tRNA from 1 species
GGGGUUGUAGCUCAGUUGGUUAGAGCACUCGACUCAUAAUCAAGCGGUCUUGGGUUCAAGUCCCAACUGCCCCA